CGGUGAACGGUGGUUGUAACUAUAACGGUCCUAAGGUAGUGAAAUUCCUUGUUGAGUAAGUUUCGACCCACAUGAAAGGCAUAACGAUAUGGGCACUGUCUCAGAGAGAGACUCAGUGAAAUAGACAUGUCUGUGAAGAUGCAGACUAUCUGCACCUGGACAGAAAGACCCUAUGAAGCUUUAUUGUUCCCUGGGAUUGUCUUUGGGUUCUUCUUACACAGCUUAGGUGGAAGGCGAAGAAGGAUCCUUCUCGAUAUAUUUCUAACCUUGUGUCAAGACCUACAGGCCAAGGGACAGUCUCAGGUAGACAGUUUCUAUGGGGUGUAGGCCUCCCAAAAGGUAAUGGAGGCGUGCAAAGGUUUCCUCGGGCCGAACGGAAAUAGGCCCUCGAGUGCAAAGGCAGAAAGGAGCUUGACUGCAAGACCCACCCUAGUAUGAGAGGACCGAGAAGGACUCAUCUCUGGUGUACCAGUUAUCGUGCCCACGGUAGACGCUGGGUAGCCAAGUGUAGAGUGGAUAACUACUGAAAGAAUAUAAGUAGGAAGCCCACCCCAAGAUGAGUGCUCUCCUAUUCUUACUUCCCUGAGAGCCCUAGUCAU
rnacentral:ncRNA from 1 species